rnacentral:lncRNA from 1 species
CGAUACCCUAGUCGAUUUCGAGAUCCAACCAACCCUGCUUAUCUUAUCUCUCAGGUUUUAAAACAGUCUUCGAUGAUAAAGAAGGCUACGCAGGAGGAGGCUGUGGCUGUGACAUCGGUCUUUUGGGACAUCAGUAUGUGUCUGGUUCUCCCUUGCUUUGAUCCUCGUCGGGUCCGUCCGUGUAUUAAACGGGUUUUGGAGAAUUCUCUUGUCCUCUCAACAUCACUGCCGUUGGCGUACUAAAAGACGUCCAGAAUGACAUCCUGAGAUGAGUCUAUUCCAGUGGAAUCGCUCUUACUAACGUCCCCUAAGGUUCUAUGGACAUUUUGGAUCUUAUUUAUAGAUUUACCGUGAGGAUCCCACCUCCAGCUAAUAUAAUGGUCAUAUCCGAUCCGGAACCUGGUCUUUUUGACUUCCUACAAAUGAUGGGAUACAACCUUCUGCAGCCGUUUCCAUAUAAUUCUUUUCAAAACUUUCUUCUGGCAGAUUCAAGGGCACUUGAGGAGUAGAAGUGCAGUGAAACGGGUGACUCUGCCUGAUGGGUUUGCUCACUAUGCUGCCGUGAUCUUGCUGUCCAACACGAAUAGGCUAUAAAAUUUCACCUCUCAUCUCUCAAGUAGAGCACAUAAACGGAAGGUAAUCAAGCAUCCUAGUUACAAGUUGGUGAAAUAGUUCUAGACUCCAACUCAACAAACCCACUAGAUUCCUUGGUCAGCAAACUCAAUCUCCUGUUACGAAUUUGGCGCGAUAAAACUUUAGUAGCUGGUUUCUAUUUUUAAUAUUAUGUCUGCUGGAAAUACAAAGAGAUUUGAGGAUUUUGAUAAAGCCUGCACAUUCUAUCUAGUAAUACGCAGCGAGCAGAAUCAAUCUAAAACCAUCACAUUUAACCACUGUUUCUUUACAAUGUAUAGGAAAAAAUUACUUACUAAUGAAAGCAUCGAGUCUAGCAAAAAAGCACCAGUAAAAACAGUAGGAAACAAAAAAUCCAGUGGCAACUCCGAGAAUAAAAAUAAACUUCAACUCCUCUUCAUCCUCUGUAUCCGCUUUAUUUGUGGUUGUAGCAGGCAGCUUUGUUGAAGCCUUGCAGGAAGUCAGCAGUAUGCCACCGCACAACAAGGGGUUUCCUUUAAAAUUUGCUUGUGGAAAAGUAUCAAACUGACUUCCUGUGGGUAUUGGCCCGUCGAGACUGUUGUUCACCACGUUGAAAUAAGACAUAUAAUGGAGGCUUGUUAGCGACCAAGGAAUUCUACCAGAUAAGUGAUUGUUGGACAGGUCAAGCCUCUCUAAGCUGGUGAGUUUCGACAACUCAUGUGGGAUGAUGCCAGACAAAUAGUUAUGAGAAAGCUCGAGGACAUGAAGAACCUUUAACUGGCCAACUUCGAUCGGUAUACUUCCUUUCAGGUUAUUCCUUCUUAUGUAGAUCCCAGGUGGGAGGCUAAACAGCUGAUUGUAUUGCUGAUGAGUUGUAACAUUAUUGGGACUGACAAAAACUGGCAGCUUUAGAUAGUUCCUUUCUGUUGCGUCGUAGGCCUUUUGGGACAUCAGAGCCUUUAGUUGGAAUAAAUCCUUCGGCAGCUCUCCUGAAAGAAGAUUUUCUGAGAGAUCAAUAUAGAAAAGGUGGGGAAAAGUUCCCAACCAACCAGGAAUUGACCCUACAAGCUGGUUGUGGGACAAAUCUAUGACUGCUAAGCUCUUCAAUUUGAUUAGCCAAGCUGGUAUUUCACCUCUCAGUCCAGAUCCACCGCUAGCAAAUAUUUGGAGAUUAGGGAAUCCAUCUGAGGAAAUCAAGUCUUUGUCGCUUGGAAAUGUUUCGUUGUAAAAAUUCUUUCCUAUGAGGAGAGUGGACAGAUUCCUGCAGCCCUGCAGAAUUCCAAGAGCGCCUGUAAUGUUCAUCAGUUUAUUGUCUGAAAGAGACAAGAUCGAUAGAGAUUCAAGUUCCAGUACGUGAGGAGAUAUCUGUCCUGUUAACUUAUUGCUUGCAAAUCUCAUCGCUGAUAGAGAUUUGCAGGAGUGAACCCUCCAAGGGAAAUCACCGCUGAAGCUAUUGUUUCCGAGAUCUAGAAUGCUAAGGCUCUGAAAGCGGGAAAAGUCAAGCUCUGAUAAGGUUCCUUCCAGCCGAUUAAGCCUCAGAUUCAACUUGACGAGAUUAGUACAAUUUGCAAGAGAAGGCGGGACUGUACCAGUGAUGUUAUUGAUAUGGAGUUGGAGGCUUUGCAGGCGAGAGAGCUGACCUAUGUCCAUUGGUAUUUCUCCUCCAAGGUGAUUGGAGUACAGCUCGAGCGAUUUUAGUUUUGUGAGGUGGGUGAUGUCAUCAUUGAUCUUUCCAGAAAGAUGAUUGACGGGUAGAAAGAGUUGCUCGAGCUCCGAAAGAUUGUAUAUGUCACUUGGGAUUUCACCAGAGAUAUUGUUGAAGCCUGCUUGUAGAACACUUAGCUUCAAACAUCUCCCUAGUCCUUGCGGAAUAUUACCGGUAAAAUCAUUGUAGGAGAAAUCCAGUUUGCUGAGCUGCGGUGAACUCUUGCACAUAAACGAAGGGAUUGAGCCUGUGAAGCUGUUCUUGCUGACAUUGAAACUGAUUAAAUCGAAAGUUCCUUGCAUAAAAAUAGAACUAGGGAGGAUUUCGCCUUGGAGAAAAUUGCUUGACAGAUCAACUAUCCGAAUUGGGAAACAUCUGUUGCUUCCAUUUCUAAAUGUUUGUUCAACUGGCAACUCACCAUCGAGGCUGUUGUAACUAAGAUCAAGAACUUUGAGCUGAUCAAGGGCUGAGAGAAAGCCAGAUGGGAGAUGACCGGAGAGACGGUUAUGAGAAAGAUUGAGUUGAGAGAGAUGGUGGAGACGCAGAACAGACAAAGGGAGUUUACCAUAUAGUGCUCUAAAGGGCAAUGAGAUUGCAGUGAUGUGGCUAUCCGGGGAAUCAUCGCAGGUUAUUCCUUCCCAUGAGCAACAAUCAAUGGAUGGGUUCCAAUUCAGAGGAGAAACAGAAGAAGAAACGUUUCCAGAGAACCACAGUAGGGAUUCUCGAUCUUGCGAGUUGCAGAGAGCCUCUGAAACUGCAAUAGAAAGGACACUGAUGAAAAGAACACACUGAAGGAGUAUGCCAAUCAUGUGAAAACUCAGAGCUUGUAUUGGUCUUGUGGUUGAUGAAGUUCUCACAAAACCUUUGGCUUUGAAUCUCCCCUCAUUAGUCAUGGUGAGAACAAGAACAAGACGAGAAACAGACAAAGAAGAUGAAAAAACUUGUUGGCCAGUGUUGACUAAGGGGGAAUAGCCCAGACAUAACAAAAUUAGACUUGUCGUACAUCUUUAAUAUUUUUUUUAUCUGUUUCUUUGUCCUGACGCUUUCAUUAUUCCUGUGAUCAAUUUUCUCAUACCAUUGGUCCAUCGUUAAUCC